rnacentral:rRNA from 1 species
UGAGGAAUAUUGGUCAAUGGGCGGAGAGCCUGAACCAGCCAAGUAGCGUGAAGGAUGACUGCCCUAUGGGUUGUAAACUUCUUUAUAAAGGAAUAAAGUCGGGUAUGGAUACCCGUUUGCAUGUACUUUAUGAAUAAGGAUCGGCUAACUCCGUGCC